GCAAACUUCUAAUUUUCCGAAUCCUGCUGUUCAGCCACCCGGAGUGAGUUCUGUACCGCCCGCGAUGAAUCCGGCACCUACCGGAGCUGUUCCUAUGACUUCGACGCAGCAAAUUAUGCCGCCUUAUGCUAUGCAUGGACAACUGAUGAGACCGUACGCUCCUAUGCCUAAUGGUUACCCUGCUAUGCAUCAACAGGGCGCCAUGCCUCCUCCCGGUGGGUUUUUGUUUCUCUCUAUGUACAGUUACUUGGAUAUUUAUGCCUAUUUAGUACAUGUUUCCCUACUGACAGUGAAAUGAUAGACUGGCACAAUGUAUAGUUUAAAAAUUAUCAGAGUUAGUCCUGCAUUUAUAUACUUUAGUUGCAGUAAAUGCAAUGAUAUUGAACGGCAAAGUCUCUGCCUUUACUAAUAAUUAAUCUCUGAGGAAUGUUUUUUCAUAAAUAGGGGCUUACACAGAAAUUUUUAUGAGCUGUGUCUAAAUUUAUAAAAGAAUGAGAAUAAUAACUUUAGUUAUCAUAUUUCUAAACAAGAAAUCUUAGUCUAUUGAUUUUGUUGAGUCUUAAGUUAGAAAAGGUUCCGAGUUCAAUUCUACUUCAUCACAAUUUUUAACCACAUAGGCUCUCUCAAUUUUUUUUUAAAAAAAAGUGCUAGUUGAGGUUUGAACUUUUGACCUCUUUUAGAGCAAAAUCAAGCACAUAACCAACACGCCAAGAGACAAUUUUUGUCAAAUUGUGUAAUUUUUUCCUACUUAUCCGUUUCCUCACAGUAUUGAUACAUAUACUUAGUAAAAUUUUCCAACGAAGCGGUGUUGCGUGACACCACUUCGUUAAAGUUGAAUCCGCCCCUGUUCUUAAGGGAUCUCUUAGGAAAGUUAGUAUCUUUAGCGCUAGAUGCUGCAAUACUGGUGGCUUAAAUAUUAGCUUUGAUAAUGUUUGUGAUUUAGAAAUUAAUCUGUUGAGGCUGAACCACUGCAAAAUGUUAUCCAUAAAUAUCCUUUUCAAGGGCACUAGUAGAAUUACUGAAGGCAUAUCUCUGAUUACCAUUUGAACCUUGCAUUGUUUAAUAGUGAGUAACAAUGGUCAACGUACUUUAUCUGUUGCUUUAUUGUGUUGAUAUUGAGAGGGGAAUAAUAUGGAUGAGAGGAGUUUGCCUGUAGAAUUGUAUUAAAAACGGAUAAGGGGUAUCGAUGACUGGAUGUUUUCUCCUACAGUUUCUUGAAUGGUUUCCGUGAGAAAGGUGGGAAGGCUUCAUAUUGCAGUUCAUUAGAGACUACUGAGUACUCCAACUGCUUUUUUGGUAUGAGCACGUCUGUUUGGUUUUGUUUUCAUUUCAUUUAUCAUUACAAGGCCAUUUGCUUUUAAACACAUCUAUUUUGUGUAAACACCGGAAGUGAAGCUUUCUCACCAUGGGCAUAUUACUUUUCUAUGUUAUGUAAUGUCUGGAUAUGCAUGUCCUACUGUAGACUUACUUUUAGUAAUAAGGGUACUACCCCUUUGUUGGGAUCUUGAUUCUUGAAAUGCUGGCAGCAGAACUUGUUAACAACUGAAUUCAAGUUGCCUAUACGGCAUACGCCAAGGUAUCACAAUCUUUUCAUUUUAUCUGCAUGUGCUGUAUUUCUGGCUAUUUUAUUUUUUGCUGUACAUGAUGAUGUUAAUGGUUAACAUGUGGAAAGAUUGUCUAAAAAUAUGUUAUCAUGUUAUCAAUUGCGUUAUUGAUGAUGAGACGCUGGGAGUCUCAUCUCAAUGUAUUCAAACCUCGCAAAUCUCCAGUCCCUAUAAUACGUCCUCCAAUUAUUCCGCCUGUUGCUAGGCCAGCUGCCAUCCCAAGCAUUGCUCAAACAGAGGAACCACAAACAACAGUUUAUGUUGGCAAGAUAUCGUCCACUGCAGAAAAUGAGUUUAUGCUUUCUCUUUUGCAGGUGAGUGAAUUUACAUAUUGACAUUUCAAUUACUUUUUGGGGAGUGGAGCUUUGUUCAUUUUUGCGUUUCUCACUUGUUUGUGUUCACAAUGAAUCCUUUUCCUGCCUUGCAAAUCCCAGUAUAUAUAUGGGUGUUUGUGAUCUCUAAAUUUAACUGAUCUUUCUGCUGUAUGAUUUGUAAAGCUCUGCGGGCCUGUUAGGAGUUGGAAGCGCGCUCAAGAUCCGACAAAUGGAUCUCUGAAAGGUUUUGGGUUUUGUGAGUUUGAGUCUGCUGAAGGGGUUCUCCGUGCAUUGAGAUUGCUCAACAAAUUAAACAUUGACGGGCAGGAGCUGAUGGUAUAGUUCUGUCUUUUCCCUCUCUGUCUCUCAAUCAACUGUCUAAAAUAAAUAAAUAGGAUUUUUUCAUUUUUAUCUGUGCAUUUUAGUACAAUUAUUUUGCAGCAUGAACAUGUCAUGAAUGAUGAAAUUAAUUUAUGAUAAGUUAUCGUUCCAUCUGACAGUGAGUGCCUUUGCAGCUCAUCUGUCUACUAAAUAUUUUCAGCAUCUUUCCCCAGUGUUUGGCAAAUAUGAACAUUUGUUCUCUGUGCAUGUUUUAUGACCAAGUCAUAAAAUAGGCUUAGAUGGGCUCUCCUCCAAUUCAUGUUACACCCUUAGCUUAUUAGGGGGAAGUGAAAUUUCAACUUCUAAUCUUGGUUAUACUUGGUAUCGUUGCAGUUAAAUGUCAAUCAAGCAACUCGUGAUUACCUUGAACAUUAUGUUGAGAAGAAAGUAGUAGAAACCUUAAAGAAGCCCAAAGAAUCUGAAACUGAAGGCGCCGAGAAAGAAGAAAGUGCAUCAGGUGGGGAAAAGAAUGAAAGUGCAAAGACUUCUAUAGAACCUCCUGAGUCCACUACAGAAGAAUCAAAGAAAGAUGGUGGUGAGAAAGGGAAUUUUGAUGCUGCUAAUUUCGGUCUGGUCAAUGAUGAAGAUAGGCAAGCUGACAAGGAGGCUGUGGAGAAGCUCAAGGAUAUGCUAGAGGAAAGGCUGAAGAAUAAACCAUUACCACCUCCACCUCCACCUCCACAAACAGCUAAAGAUGGUUCUGAUAACUCAAAUACGGAAAACCCCAAAGAUGGGGAAGCAGAUAGAGAUACCGCAAAAAUUGGUUAGUUUAUCGGACCGCUAAAAUGCCGCCUUUUUUUUCUUUUGAAGAUUUUCUUUAUUGCCUAGAUGUUAUAAAAAAAUAUUAGUGCUUUAGUCUUAAUGCUUUUCUGACACGUUUCAAUAUGAUUUUGGAAACAAUGCAGAAGACAAAAAUGAUGAUGAAUUGAUCAGUCAAAGUAAAACAUCAAGUGAGCAUGACAAGGCUGAUAUUAGCUCACCUGACCAUCGUAGGCAUGAUAGGAGAAGUAGGGAUCGAGAGAGGGAUUUGAAGAGGGAAAAGGAAAGGGAACUCGAAAGGUAUGAGAGAGAACGUGAACAAGAACGAGCCAAGAGAGAGAAGGAGAGAGAUUACAAGAUCCGCGAAGAUGAGCGAANNNNNNNNNNNNNNNAAGAGAAGAGAAGAUGAGGAACAGCAGAAAAAAGAGCAGGAGGAGGCAUUGAAAAUCCUUUCCGGUCAUCUGGCUAAUGGACGCGAGAAAGCUGUUUCCUAUGAGGAGAGCAACCUUGAAAGCCAAGAUAAGAAUAUUGAGACAGCUCAUGAUAAUUUAAGUCAGGGUAACUAUUUUAGUUUAUUCUUCUUUAGAUUUUAUUGCUAUGACUUCUGCUCUAUCUUUCUAUUUGGUUUUGACAUUCAAAUAACAGGUGAAGGAGUUGUGCAAAAUGGGACUGAUGAAGAAUCCGUAUUGGCAGCUACUGCUUCAUCAGAUAUGAAGCAUAAUAGCAAUGCCCCAGCGAAAAGAUUGGGAUUUGGCCUCCUAGGGUCGGGGAAAAGAGCUGCUGUCCCUUCUGUUUUCAACGCAGAUGAGGAUGAGGAUACUCAAAAAGAAAAGAAGAUGAGGCCAUUGGUUCCAAUUGACUACUCCAUUGAUGAGCGACAUAUGGUCCAACCUUCUAUCUCUGAAUCACCA
rnacentral:lncRNA from 1 species